GUAAUUAUAAUCAAGUUGAAAGUAACUAUCAUAGAUUAUCUUUAAUUAAUGUAAUUUAAUAUAAUUAUAGUCAUUGACUUUAUUCACUUUUUGUAAACAAUUUAAUAAUUGUGCAUAAAGAAUUCCGAAAUGAUAUUAAUUUUUAUUCACUAUAGAAGCCCUAGCAUUCCGGGAUAAAUUUUACAGGAGAAAAAAGUGAAGAGAUGGGAUUAGUGAAGACACUGAUUACAACCAGUCACCCUCCUUCUGAUAUUCACACACCGAAUGAAAAAUGGGCCAGGCAACUCAACCAAGAUGAACCAGACAGCGGACAACUAAAGGAUCUGAUUGGUGUAGCAGUCGGGGUUUAUUUCCUCAUCUUCAUCGUAGUCAUCGUCACCAUCUUCUAUCGACGACGAAGGCGACGACCAUCUUUUGAAUGAUCAUUUAUAUUUAAUCAUCUCACCAUAACCGUCGCCACCAUUUUUAAACGAGGACAAAGACGAGGGCUAUAUCCAGUGAUAAACAUACAUUGGUUUCAUCAUUAUCACAGCACCGUCAUUUUCCAUAUUAGUGCCGCAUUAAACCGAGGACAAGACUGGUCCAGGAGUGAGUGGCUAUUUUCAUGUGGUUUCCAUUGACCGUCAUAAACUGUUACAAAUGAGAUUAUUGAAGGAACAUAUUUGUGUUCAAAAAUUC